rnacentral:rRNA from 1 species
GACUGCGCGCAGUCAUGGGCCAAGCAACCCAAAGGCGAAGAUAACACAACUGCACAGUUGCGGGAUUACGGGCACACCACGGUCACUCCGGUGGCCGGCUAGCCGUGUGCCCCUCCAUCCCCGGGUGUUGCACCAACGGACCCUCCGGGGGCCGGCAACAUACCGCGAGCGCGCAGGAUGUGACCCGAAAGAUGAUGAACUAUGCCUGAUCAGGUUGAAGUCAGGGGAAACCCUGAUGGAGGACCGAAGCAAUUCUGACGUGCAAAUCGAUUGUCAGAGUUGGGCAUAGGGGCGAAAGACCAAUCGAAUCAUCUAGUAGCUGUUUCCUUCCGAAAA